CAGAGCUGAGUUCACUCUUCACCCUCACCCCGCCGUCUGUUAUUUUCGCUCCGGAAACCUAACUACCCUAGAGGCUAGAGGAUACUUUAACUCAGAAGAGGAAGAAGAAGACCACGAGAAUCUAUUGAAAUGAUGCAAAAGAAUUACAGGGUUAGGAUUCAGCUUCAUAGGAGUUAGUUUGACAGUUCAUGAAUGCCAAAGUAUCUAUCAAGAGGUUUACUGGAAGUGAUGUCUAUUACACCUCCAAGCAAAGAAUGGAUGGAUGCUCCACGACAGUCAACUCAAUUUUUGGAAGGAGUUGAAUCCUUUAUCAGGUUCGCAAAAGAUACUCGAGGGGCAGAUAGAUUAUACCUCUGUCCAUGCUCGAAAUGUAAGCUCUUUUCAGCAAAAAAACAAUAUCUCUAGAGGAAAUACAUUUGCAUUUGCACAAAUCGGGUAUCCAUAAGCUAUACAGAAUUUGGAUACAUCAUGGAAAACAGCCUCGUCCAGAUGUUGUCAAUGUUAAUCCAGCUCCUAAUUUACCUGGUAAUAAUGUUCAUUGUGAAGAUUCUGGUCGGAGAAUGGUCGACGUGUUCAGUGACCUCGAUAAAAACAUGGAAGAGUGUUCCAAUUAAUCCAUUCUUCUCAAGCUAUCCAAGUUUUUUAUUGCAAGGAUGAGAGUAGGCCUGAUAAGAAGCGGCAUAGUGUUUUAGAAUCUCCAAAACAACAAGGUCCUAAUGUGAAUACUUUUGAGGAUCCUUUUGUUUUUACCGGCAUAAUUAAAGAAUCUUCCCUAACAGCAGCGAACUUAUAUGAUAACAGUAAUUCGGAAGAAGAUGCAUUUGAAAAUUAGGAGAGGCAGAAGUUCAACACCAGUAAGCAUUCCAACAAUGGCUCGCGACAAUAUUUAUCAGUACUGGAUUUUGAGUGGAAUUUUUCAUUAUGAUACAAAUGUUACUUUAAAUUUCUUCCUAAUGUACUUCUUGAAUGUUUUACUUUGGAUAUCAGUUUAAAUUAAUCCUUUUCAUUCA